rnacentral:rRNA from 1 species
UACGUAGGGUGCAAGCGUUGUUCGGAAUCAUUGGGCGUAAAGCGCGUGUAGGUGGUUAGAUAAGUCGAUUGUGAAAUCCCUGGGCUCAACCGAGGAAGUGCAGUCGAAACUAUCUAGCUAGAGGACGGCAGAGGAAGGUGGAAUUCCAAGUGUAGAGGUGAAAUUCGUAGAUAUCGGGAGGAACACCGGUGGCGAAGGCGGCGACCUGGGUAGAUACUGACGCUGAGGUGCGAAAGCGUGGGGAGCAAACAGG